rnacentral:misc_RNA from 1 species
ACACCUCAACUCUCACGGUCCGCCGUGAUGAGCUUGGACUUUGGGGGUCUUGCUGGCUUAACUGUCGGCUCCUCUCAAAUGGAUCAGCUUGCCAGUGUUUGGUGGCAUCACAGGUGUGAUAACUAUCUACGCUUGUGCUCUUCCACCAGGUAACCUUCAGUGAUGGAGGUUCGCUGGAGCUUACAGACGUCUCUCCCCAGGGAGGACAGCUUUUGAAC